GAUGAACGCUGGCGGCGUGCCUAAUACAUGCAAGUCGAGCGAAUGGAUUAAGAGCUUGCUCUUAUGAAGUUAGCGGCGGACGGGUGAGUAACACGUGGGUAACCUGCCCAUAAGACUGGGAUAACUCCGGGAAACCGGGGCUAAUACCGGAUAACAUUUUGAACCGCAUGGUUCGAAAUUGAAAGGCGGCUUCGGCUGUCACUUAUGGAUGGACCCGCGUCGCAUUAGCUAGUUGGUGGGGUAACGGCUCACCAAGGCAACGAUGCGUAGCCGACCUGAGAGGCUGAGCGGCCACACUGGGACUGAGACACGGCCCAAACUCCUACGGGAGGCAGCAGUAGAGAAUCUUCCGCAAUGGACGAAAGUCUGACGGAGCAACGCCGCGUGAGUGAUGAAGGCUUUCGGGUCGUAAAACUCUGUUGUUAGGGAAGAACAAGUGCUAGUUGAAUAAGCUGGCACCUUGACGGUACUUAACCAGAAAGCCACGGCUAACUACGUGCCAGCAGCCGCGGUAA
rnacentral:rRNA from 1 species